rnacentral:tRNA from 1 species
GCCGAAGUGGCGGAACAGGCAGACGCGACGGUCUCAAAAACCGUUGAGGGUUCGCCUCAUGUGGGUUCGAGUCCCACCUUCGGCACCA